rnacentral:misc_RNA from 1 species
UCAUAGGGUUCGUCGCCGCGCGCCUCCCUCACCUCGAUGGGGCGGCCAUUGGCGUCGUAGCCGGUCGCCCAGUUCACGUCGACGAAGUUCUUCGCCGAGAUGAACUUGCCGUUGGUGCGGUCGAUGACAAAGAAGAAGCCGUUCUUCGGCGCGUGCAGGAUCACCUUGCGCUGCGCGCCGUCGAUGUUGAUGUCCGCCAGGAUCAUCGGCUG